UACGGAGGGUGCAAGCGUUGUCCGGAUUUAUUGGGUUUAAAGGGUGCGUAGGCGGCCCGUUAAGUCAGUGGUGAAAGCCUCCAGCUCAACUGGAGAACUGCCAUUGAUACUGACGGGCUUGAGUACAGACGGGGUAGGCGGAAUUGAUUGUGUAGCGGUGAAAUGCAUAGAUACAAUCAAGAACUCCGAUUGCGUAGGCAGCUUACUAGGCUGUAACUGACGCUGAGGCACGAAAGCGUGGGGAGCGAACAGG
rnacentral:rRNA from 1 species